rnacentral:lncRNA from 1 species
GAAAAUUAAAGAUUUGAAAUAACGUAAGUCGACUUAGUCUAAUACAAAAUAAAUAGAGAGAGAGAGAGAGAGUAAACGAAGGAAGGAUCAAGAUUUAUUAUUUAGGCAUAGACUUUAGUUUCUGUACACACAUGUUCAUCGACUAAAUUCCAUAAAGCAAAAUAGAAAUUGGAAAGAAAACCAGAAUGUCAAAUGCAUGCAGCAACAAGGUGUUAUUAUUUAGGAAUAAAAUUUAGUUUCUGUACACACAUGUUCAUCGACUAAACUCCAUAAAGCAAGAACAUAAAGGCAUUAAGAGAUAGCUUCAGUACUGUACCCGAUCCAGCUUGUUCCAUCCUCUAUGACGAUCCCAGCAUUGAUUACGUUUUCGGAUUUACCAAACCCAGUCCAACCAUC